GAGUUUGAUCCUGGCUCAGAACGUACGCUGGCGGCACGCCUAACACAUGCAAGUCGAACGCAGUAGCAAUACUGAGUGGCAGACGGGUGAGUAACAUGUGGGAAUCUGCCUUGUGGUUCAGGACAACAUUGGGAAACCGAUGCUAAUACUGGAUAAGCCCUUACGGGGAAAGUUUUAAUGCCAUAAGAUGAGCCCGCAUUUGAUUAGUUAGUUGGUGAGGUAAUGGCUCACCAAGACAAUGAUCAAUAGCUGAUCUGAGAGGAUGAUCAGCCACACUGGGACUGAGACACGGCCCAGACUCCUACGGGAGGCAGCAGUGGGGAAUCUUGCACAAUGGAGGAAACUCUGAUGCAGCGAUGCCGCGUGAGUGAAGAAGGCCUUUGGGUUGUAAAGCUCUUUUGUAGGGGAAGAUAAUGACUGUACCCUAAGAAUAAGGUCCGGCUAACUUCGUGCCAGCAGCCGCGGUAAUACGAAGGGACCUAGCGUAGUUCAGAAUUACUGGGCGUAAAGCGCGCGUAGGCCGUUGAGUUAGUUAAUUGUGAAAUCCCAAAGCUUAACUUUGGAACUGCAAUUAAAACUGCUCGACUAGAGUUUGAUAGAGGAAAGCGGAAUACAUAGUGUAGAGGUGAAAUUCGUAGAUAUUAUGUAGAACACCAGUUGCGAAGGCGGCUUUCUGGAUCAACACUGACGCUGAGGCGCGAAAGUAUGGGUAGCAAAA
rnacentral:rRNA from 1 species